UCUGGAGUCACCUCUAUCGCCCAUCAUUUGUCAUUCUAAACUGUUCUGGCCCUUCAGCUCCAGCCCUCGUGAUCCUAAGGAAGGCAGAACUGCUCAAGAGGAUGCUGGGACUCUAGGAAGGGGACCCUAAGCCUUCCAGCUAUACCAAAGGGUUGUUGAGCUCCCCUGGAGGAAGGCAAGAAGCAUGGAGCCUCAGUUGUACACAGGGACAUCUUGAGUCACUCUCUGAAGGUUUUUUGUUUGUUUGUUUGUUUUGUGUUUUUUUUGCUGCUGGCCAUCUCAGUUGCUGUGUUCCCCACCUGCUGCCAUGGGAGUUUGCUACUGCAGCUGGGUCUUUGAAUGACAAGGCUCCCAGCAACAAGGUGUCCAGGCUGUGACCUCAAGCAGCAACUGAGCAGUUCAUCCUAACUGAGAUGCACAGAAGGUGUGAAACACACCAGAUUUUAGGACCAGCAAAACAUGUGGUUUAUCUCUUUAAUAACUGUUAUGUCUAUUUUUUAAUUCAAUAACAGUAUUUUUAAUGUAUAUUUUAUGUUAAAAUAUUUUAUUUAACUACAUUUCAUCUUUUUCUUUAUAUCUUUUUUGAGCAUAUAUAUAUGUAUAUACAAAUAUUUAUUUAUUGCAAAUAUUUAUUAAAAAUUUUGCCAGGCAUGCUGGCACACACCUUUAAUCUCAGUACUCCAAAGGUAGAGGUGGGCAUAUUUCUGUGAGUUCAGUCUGAUAUAUAUAGUGAGUUUCAUGUCAUCCAGGGUGACAUAGAAAAACCAUGUUUCAAACUGAGAAAAAGAUUAGGAUACAUGG
rnacentral:lncRNA from 1 species